UAGGAGUUCAUUGACUCCUAAAUGUGUGGAAGCUCUUAUUUGUGUUCAAGAUUGGCUUAGAGAAGAGAACAAUCCUAUUAGUGUUGAAGAAGACUUGAAGUAUCUUGAGGAACUCGAGCUCGAUAUGGAAAAUAAUGGAAGCACAACUAGCAUUGUUUGAUGUAUAGUUGCAACUUGCAUCUUGAGAGGUUCAAGCAUUGUGGUCAAGUCUAUAAUGUGUAGUUGCAACAGUGUUGACUGUUUGCAUCUGGUGAUUCGCAAU